UGUGGAUUAAUCGUGUUUUGUGGCCACCUCCCCCAUGUUAAACUGCCUCAAAUAGUACUUCAAGCCGGCAGUAAAGCCUACUACCUGUCCACUCUGACAGCCGUUGUCAAGGAGCUACGACGCCUGUGUGUUUUGUCCCAGGAUGUACUUGCAUGAGCAACUGAUCCAUUUGAUGUUACGCUUCCCAGAUGAUAAACAGACAAGAAGCCGCGAUAAAACACAUCAGAGAUUCUUCCUUAUCUGAUGCAAGGGUCAAAGGACAGAGGGUGUUCUAUGCUGUACAGACUGUGAAGCUAAGCACAUUUGUUAUUUUGAACUGCAUAAAUACAAUUCAAUUGCAGUCAGAGUUAAGCCCCGUCCAGACCUGAAUAACCUUUUGUUUAGUGACCAUAAAGGUCUGUUUUUAUUGUGUUUUUGUUAAAUCUGACC